GAUGAACGCUGGCGGCGUGCUUAACACAUGCAAGUCGAACGGAAAGGCCCUGCUUUUGUUGCGUGCUCGUUUGGCGAACGGGUGAGUAACACGUGAGUAACCUGCCCUUGACUUUGGGAUAACUUCAGGAAACUGGGGCUCUUACCCGCUAGGAUCUCCUGCUGCAUGGUGGUGGUUGGUAAGUUUCGGCGGUUGUGGAUGGACUCGCGGCUUAUCAGCUUGUUGGUGGGGUAGUUGCUUACCAAGGCUUUGACGGGUAGCCGGCCUGAGAGGGUGACCGGCCACAUUGGGACUGAGAUACGGACCAGACUCCUACGGGAGGCAGCAGUGGGGAAUAUUGCACAAUGGGCGGAAGCCUGAUGCAGCAACGCCGCGUGCGGGAUGACGGGCUUCGGGUGGUAAACCGAUUUCGCAUGUGACGAAGCGGGAGUGACGGUAAUGGGUAAAGAAGCACCGGCUAACUACGUG
rnacentral:rRNA from 1 species